UAGGGAAUCUUCGGCAAUGGACGAAAGUCUGACCGAGCAACGCCGCGUGAGUGAAGAAGGUUUUCGGAUCGUAAAACUCUGUUGUUAGAGAAGAACAAGGACGUUAGUAACUGAACGUCCCCUGACGGUAUCUAACCAGAAAGCCACGGCUAACUACGUGCCAGCAGCCGCGGUAAUACGUAGGUGGCAAGCGUUGUCCGGAUUUAUUGGGCGUAAAGCGAGCGCAGGCGGUUUCUUAAGUCUGAUGUGAAAGCCCCCGGCUCAACCGGGGAGGGUCAUUGGAAACUGGGAGACUUGAGUGCAGAAGAGGAGAGUGGAAUUCCAUGUGUAGCGGUGAAAUGCGUAGAUAUAUGGAGGAACACCAGUGGCGAAGGCGGCUCAAUGGUCUGUAACUGACGCUGAGGCUCGAAAGCGUGGGGAGCAAACAGG
rnacentral:rRNA from 1 species